AUGAAAAAGACUUUACCUGGAAGACAACCACUAGAGCUUGCUUGGCUCUCGCUCCCACUCUUUCGAGCUAUAACGUCAAUAGCAAGACUGAUUACCAAUCCCGGGCGAUUCGAGCGAGUAGGCCCCGACAGGAGCUUAGCCCGAUGGAUGCGUUCUCAAUCCUCUUAGGAAUCUCUAUCUCACCCAAGGGAAAGAGAUUCGAUAAACCACCGAUCUUGCCCAAAAGCAAUCAUUUAGCUCUAGCUCUACUCCUUCUACAGGGAUGAAAGUAACUCGACCGUAAGGGUCAGAGCUAUGUUGACGUAUCAAAAGGUUGAGAGGGAUCUUGCUCGUUCUACAAGUAUUCCGCUCGCUCCACUCGUUUAUUCCACGUAGACCCUCACUUAGACUUUCUUCUGAUCUUGCUUACCGUUCUGAUUGGGCUUCGAGUGGGGUAGAUCUCUAUGGAGGUUAUGCUUCGGUUCCUUCCUCUAGCUCCGAGUGAAGAUCUUUUUGAAUUGGACAAAGCCAUAAGACACUCACAGACAAAGCAGCUCGGGGGAUAAAGAUAAGAGGAGUGAAAGCCAUGUACCCCUAAUCUUCCCACCCGGGCUAAGGUAUGAGUUUCCAGGCGGAAAGCCCAUUCUCGAUAUGUGCCUAUCAUUACGAUAUUUUCCUUUCCUUCUGAUAAUAGUACUAGACUCUUGGCUUAAGUCAGCAAGUCAUGCUCCUUCUGUGUUAGGGCCUCGCUUAUAUGUCUUAGUAGAGGGCCCCUUCAAGUUAGUCUUCUAAGGAUACUACUGGCUCCAGUAAACAUGCUUUAAUUUGCCUUUGAUUCACGAGGGAACUGUCUAAAAGUGAAAGGCAUCAUUGGUAGGCGGCCAAGCGAACAUUCCCGCUAAUCACUCUACUCCUCCUGCGAACCGUUGAUGAGCAAGCCGAGCUUGGAACCUCUUCUACUUUACCGACAGCAGCUCUGAAUAAGGAAUGAUUGAACUUUGGCUAUCCACAUCUGAAAGCACUCUACUUCAACCUCUUAGUUAUCAAAUCCUCUUGAUUCACUCUUAUCUUGAAAAAGAAAGAUCACAUUUAAAAGGGAUCUCCUCUUAUUAUUAAGAAUCAAAAAAGCAUCCAAUUUGCCUUCAUAAAGGAAGAAACUCAAGCAAAGAUACCAUAGAAGGGUACUGCUACUUGAAAGCCUAGGGCUAAUAGCAAAACAGGGAGAUUCGUGGAAAGAUGUGCUAUACUAUGGAUAUUUCCUCACAAUCAUAUUGUUGAUUCCAGUUACCAUCAGAUUGAAUGAAAGGGAUGACCAGCAGAUGAUAGCAAGGCUAAACAGAUUCGAGAUUAUCGAUCAGAUGAGCUGACAGGGCAAGCACGUACUACCAGAAGAGUAGACCUCAGAGCGAUUGAUUCCCAGUGCUUGAAUAAACUGACUUGGAGCCUUCCUACUAGAAGGAAUGGUGGGAGGGACACUGUUCCCGGCUUUUAACUCCUUCACUGAACCUUAACUGAAUGAGAAGGGCUUCCGAGUGGAACGAUACCGAUCCCGGCCCAACGCGAAAGGCAUAAAACCUCUCCGUACGUUCUUACUCUGAGUUAAGAGUUCCGAGUUAGUAGCUAAGAGCGGACUGAGAGGAAGUCAUAGGCCGGAUUGAUUAAAUGAGGAUGGCUCGGGGAAGUAAGAACUCCAACUUCCAUCGAACAGGGGGAAGCGACUAGACUCAGCCUGCAAUAGCCAGAUAAAGCGGCGGGGACCAAUCCAACUAGUUGGAGCCAAUCAGUCCAGGGAAGGCAACUGGCCUUAGGCCUGCAAUUGGAUCUAAAAGAUUAGCACAAACAAGAGAUGUCAUUAGUAAGUACUGCAAUCUAUCACUCUUUCUCGAUCCAAGACAAAAGGAAGAAAAAUAGAUGCCCUUCUCUCUUAAACUAGCUCGCUGGCUGUAAUGGACUCUUGAAUUGCUAUUGGCCUAAUUGGCCCUAAAAUGCGAGCUUUCUAUCUCACUUGUUUGCUAGCUUGCAACUGCUGUUACGGGCACUGAAACUAACUCGGCUGUCCCGAGGGAGAUUUUUUUCAAAAAUGAUAAGAAAUUAAUCGCGAAGAAAGCGAAAUCUAAAGAUAGGGGAGAGGAAUUUCUAUUUGCAAUAGCAAGAGGCGUAGGGAACCCAUUGAAAAUGGAUGACAUUACUAAGAUAAGAUCGAAGCUGCUAUACGCCCUAUAUGCGUAGACAUCGACCUAAGGUAUAAACCUCCUCUUGGACAUUGGUGAUAGCGGAGACCCCUGCUAACUCUUGUUUUCCUGCCCAAGCCUCUCUCGAUCCCUUGGAAAAAGACCUAUUUGCCUAUCUCUUUGAUCUGACUAGGUCAAUCGACCUAUCCCCCAGCGUACCGGAGCUUGUCUACCCGCUGAAGAUCGCCCCUACUGCAUACUGGGCACGGAUCCCCUUUCUUUCUUGCGGUCGCCUCGGGCUUAAUCCGUAUAAUGGUUAUCAACUACUGGCAUUGUGGGGUAAGAUUUCUUUGACAUAGAAGGAUGCCCCUCGGAAGGUUUAGCUACGUCCUGUAAAAACUUGCUACAAGCAGGCAACUUACUACCUCUCUGUCUCCUCUUCUUAUAUAGUUGAUGGACUUAGUUUCAUCGUAUAAGAGACGGGUCGGUGGGCAAGUGAGUACCUGUACUACGGUCGUAUCAAAACCUAAAAACUGAAAGAAGAAGGAAAAUCAAUCAAUAGGACACUAUCGAAGUUUAAACGUCACAGGUCUCCCGCCAGAAGGGAAAGUUUCAACCGAAAAUGGCUUCUCAUAGGAUAGGGCAUUCCAUCCGAUUCUUUUCUGAACAAAUAAAAUCCCAGAGCCCAAACUCUGGUUAGAGCGAGAGCUAGAGGGAGAGUUGAGAGACUUAGGUCCGGACCAUAGCCAUCAUUUGAGGGGGACUCUCUUUAUAAAAUAAAGAAGCCCAAGGCCCAUCUAGAUUCAAAAUGGAGUAGCAUAAAUCCCCGUAUAUUCGAACUGCGAUAUCUUCUUUCUUUUUUAAUCAUUCCCAAUACCGAGAUGAGUUCUCGUCCCAUCUUGCUUUUGCUACCGGUCACCGUAAGCAACCUCUAAUAACUUGCUUGAGCCACGGGGAAAUACUCUAUGAGACCGGCCCUAUACCUAUACGAAGGCAAGCUUUCCAACGAAAUACCCCAUGAGGUAGAUUAAGAAGGGCGCGCUUUCGAAUUAGCGAAAAAAGAAGGGAAGUGAACUUUGCCCUGAACGAAGGAUUUAUCCUUUGUUGAGAUAGAACUAAGCACCAACUAGAUCGCCUAUGAAGAAAGUAGGCACAAAGACAUUUCUAAAGAAAGAAGGCAGCAAGCAAGGACAUGAGGAUAGAGGCUUCGGAUUCCUUAUCACCACCCGAAGAAAAGAGAUCGAACUGAUAAUUGGAAUUGGAAGAGGAGACAGAGCACGUAGCUCAGCUCAUAGGACUUCCGGGCGAGGAAAGCCUAAACCUUAUCCUUAUUGGAGGCCUCUUCGUGCCUUACUUCUCUAUGGAUCUGACCGGCUCGAUUGAGACAGAGAGUCAAGGUGCGAAUCGAAAGUUUAAAAGGCUUCUUCCGAUGUCGAAUCAGGCGAAGGAGGGGAACUCAGAGCCCUUGUCAAGGGUUCACCCUAGAUAUGGGAUCGAAGUGGCUGCUAGAAAGAGAGAGCGAGUCCUAUGUUCAAUAAUCUUAUUGCUCCUGUGCUUAGGGAGCUACAGGAGAAGAAAAGAAGACAACAAAUAACAGAAGGAAAUGGCAAAAUUCAUUGAUGAAAGACGGCCCACUGAUUAAAGAAAGAAAGAAGUUGACUAUAUCGGAGUGGAAGUUGCAUUUGCGCAAGAUUCGUGGAACUGGGCAUGGCAAAGACAGAUCAAUUCCUAAACGAACCAUUUUAUAGAUUCGUUCUGGAAGUUCCCCCCUAAAGGGUGUCAUAUGUGUUGGCGGAUCCAUUUUAUAUAGCAAUAGAGUCGAAACAUAAAAUGUAUGCUAGCGGAUCUGCUUGAGCUUCCUUAGCCUUAGGCAAAGUGGAAAGCUUAUUUUGAGCUAUUCAUUGACCAAAGUUUCCUCGGGUCAUUAGAGUUGGAGUUUGAGUACUCGCAGCUAAUCAAUUGAAGACCCUUAGGAUUAGGGGCAAGCAGUGAGGUUACCCUUUAGGGCGGAUGAAAGGGAAAGACUCGUUUUUUCCCUUUCCAUUUGAUGGCACUCUCGCCGACAAAGAGCUUUAUCCCAGCUCGGAAAUGAAAUAAUCAAUGUCCUUUGCUUUCCCAUCUCUAUCUUAUUUUUAUAGCCUGACUUUCCGGCCGCACCUCUUCUGAAGUCGGGUUUUUAUCGCUGAUUUCCGCUGCUUAGUGACUUGGCCUUAGUGUGGUACCUGGGACCUACGCUUGUCCAAUAGUUCAUGUCGGGGAAAGAUGAAU
rnacentral:lncRNA from 1 species